rnacentral:tRNA from 1 species
UUGUAGCUCAGCUGGAUAGAGCAACGGCCUUCUAAGCCGUGGGUCGGAGGUUCGAAUCCUCUCA